CUCUUUGUGCAGUGGCAGUAUCAUAGCCAAUGAGGUUUAUCUGAGGCACGAUUAUUGCUAAUUGAUUAUUAGCAAUUGAUUAUUGCUAAUUGUGAUUAUGGCUAAUUUUCCCAAUAACCCCCCCAUGGCGACUUGAAAUAUAAUCGGCAUUGGCAAUUUUUGAUGGUUUCUACAGAGA
ensembl:snRNA U4 U4 spliceosomal RNA